ACGCUGGCGGCGUGGAUUAGGCAUGCAAGUCGAACGGUAUGGACCUUUCGGGGUUCAGAGAGUGGCGAACGGGUGAGUAACACGUAGGUAAUCUACCCUCAAGACGGGGACAACCCAGGGAAACUUGGGCUAAUACCGGAUGUGUGUAGUGGCUAUUUUCUGAUUAUCAUUAUUUACGUAAGUGAGUAAUAAUAAGAAGGGAAAGUGGUUAUUACAUAAAAGGUGGCGUAAGCUGCCGCUUGGGGAUGAGCCUGCGUCCUAUUAGUUAGUUGGUGAGGUUAACGGCUUACCAAGGCGAUGAUAGGUAGGCGGCCUUAACGGGUGGUCGCCCACACUGGGAUUGAGAUACGGCCCAGACUCCUACGGGAGGCAGCAGUCGAGAAUAGUCUACAAUGGACGGAAGUCUGAUAGUGCGACGCCGCGUGAACGAAGAAUCCCUUCGGGGUGUAAAGUUCUUUUAUACGUGAGCAGUGUCCUUUAUAUUAAUAGUAUAAGGGGAGAGAUAUUAGCGUAUGAAUAAGCAACGGCUAACUCCGUG
rnacentral:rRNA from 1 species